AGUUGCGUAGGUGGCAUCGUAAGUCUGUAGUGAAAGCGUGGGGCUCAACCUCAUACACAUUAUGGAAACUGCGAAGCUAGAGGACGAGAGAGGCAUCUGGAAUUCCUAGUGUAGGAGUGAAAUCCGUAGAUAUUAGGAGGAACACCGAUGGCGUAGGCAGGGUGCUGGCUCGUUCCUGACACUAAGGCACGAAAGCGUGGGGAGCAAACGGGAUUAGAUACCCCGGUAGUCCAUGCCGUAAACGAUGGAUGCUAGCUGUAUUCGGUAUCGACCCCGGAUGUAGCGAAGCUAACGCGUUAAGCAUCCCGCCUGUGGAGUACGGUCGCAAGACUAAAACAUAAAGGAAUUGACGGGGACCCGCACAAGCGGUGGAGCGUGUUGUUUAAUUCGAUGAUAAGCGAGGAACCUUACCAGGGCUUGACAUCUUCGGAAGCACUUCGAAAGAAGCGUGUGCCUUCGGGAACCGAAUGACAGGUGCUGCAUGGCCGUCGUCAGCUCGUGUCGUGAGAUGUUUGGUUAAGUCCAUCAACGAGCGCAACCCUUGUGAUUAGUUGAAUUUUUCUAAUCAGACCGCCCUGGUAACGGGGAGGAAGGAGGGGAUGAUGUCAGGUCAGUAUUG
rnacentral:rRNA from 1 species